rnacentral:lncRNA from 1 species
CCCUCUUUCUUGUGUUUCUUUCCGUCCACGGUCCACCCACGAGCCACGACCCACGAGACGCCCACUUAUCUUCCACCGGGAGGAAGUGGAUCCAUGGCGGCCUCUUCCAGAUCCACCGCCCUCCACCCUCUCCAUCCAUGGCGGCCGCCACCACACAAAGACAAAGGCUGGCAGCCACCGCAACCUCGCCAUCCAUGGCAUCUUCCCCUCCGCAUCCUGAAGCCGCCGCGUUACCAGCCGCCGCAACCUCUUCAUCCACGAACAUCUACCUCUCUACCGCCGCAUCGACCAUCUGCCGUCACGACGUUAGCCUCGUCUAGUAGGCGGGGACGCCCCUAAAGGCGGACCUAGUGCAUGCGUCGCUGGUUCCCAUCUUGCUGCAAGGAGCGACCAGGUCCCUCGUGGGCGUGCAGAAGCUGGAUGGGCCGGACGCGAUGACUACGGGCGUGCUCAAGGUCCCGCUUCAGCCUCCACCUGAUGGAGUUUCGCCGCAUCGGACCGGCGGGAUCCUCGGCAGGCUGUGAGCUGCAAGUCCCAACAGGUCUCCCCUCCCCCUGUUGCUUUUGAUUUUCCCAGCCUUUCGUUUGUGAUUUCCCAAACCGUUCUUAGGAAUUCUUGACUUGGCAGGCACUACAGGUUCGAUGGUGUUUUCAUCGGUUGAGACAGAGUGCCGUUCAGCAGCAUGGUUUGAGGCGAGAUGGUAGCGAAAAUGGUGUCUCCCUCUGAUGACCUCGGCGGGUACGGCCGGGUCUGUGGCCAUAAAGGCACGGGGAUUAACGAAAGUUGAAAUAUGGCGAGCGCCGCCGGCGCUUGAAGAGCUGGAGAGUAGCUUAGUGUGUCUCCAGGAGAUAUUUGUAAUUUUAAGUUUUUACUGAUUUUUUUGCUCCUGUACAUGUGUAUUUCCUGGUCUGUUUAUGUAACAUCCAUUUUAGUGAAUGAAAUGAGCAUAUAUAUUUUUCGGAUAAAACAUAUUGCCUUAAAAUUUCCAUGGGCCAAAUAAGAGAAAUAGGAUGAGAGGUGGUUGUAUUGCUUGUAGUGAAAUAG